CGGCCCUGUUCCCGUCUACCAGCAGCUCGUUCAAUAUCAAUUAAGGCCGAGCGGCAAAGCCUGCAGCCUCCGAGAGCUUCCAACUGCCUGAUAGUGGCACUUAUUAGUUUGGAAAACUAGGAAAAUACUAAUAAUCAACAACCAAGGGGAAAGAGGAGGCAACCAGACAAAAGGAAGGCAGGAACGCAGCCGGAGAAAGGAGCGAGCGCGCCGCCUGCCCGCGCCCCCGCCUCCGCCCCCGCUCCUCUGGCCCCAGACUGUUCACGGAUGGGACUGAAUCCCUUGGAGAACUCAGGAGACAACAGAAGACCUGCAAAAAUGUGUAGAGCUGGGAGCACGAGGACGGGUCCAUGAUCCACGUGAACACGGGGAGGCAGGGAAGACUUCAUGGAGGAGAAGUGAAGAGAUUACUGCCAUUGGCUAAGCUCA
rnacentral:lncRNA from 1 species